rnacentral:rRNA from 1 species
AUUGAACGCUGGCGGCAGGCCUAACACAUGCAAGUCGGGCGGUAACAGGGAGAAGCUUGCUUCUCUGCUGACGAGCGGCGGACGGGUGAGUAAUGUAUGAGGAUCUGCCUAAUGGAGGGGGAUAACUACUGGAAACGGUAGCUAAUACCGCAUAAUGUCUUAGGACCAAAGCGGGGGACCUUCGGGCCUCGCACCAUCAGAUGAACCCAUAUGGGAUUAGCUUGUAGGUAAGGUAACGGCUUACCUAGGCGACGAUCCCUAGCUGGUCUGAGAGGAUGAUCAGCCACACUGGGACUGAGACACGGCCCAGACUCCUACGGGAGGCAGCAGUGGGGAAUAUUGCACAAUGGGCGCAAGCCUGAUGCAGCCAUGCCGCGUGUAUGAAGAAGGCCUUCGGGUUGUAAAGUACUUUCAGUCGGGAGGAAGGUGGUGAGUUUAAUACACUCAUCAAUUGACGUUACCGACAGAAGAAGCACCGGCUAACUCCGUGCCAGCAGCCGCGGUAAUACGGGGGAUGCAAGUGUUAUCCGGAAUCACUGGGCGUAAAGCGUCUGUAGGUGGUUUAGUAAGUCUGCUGUUAAAUAUUGGGGCUCAACCCUGAACAAGCAGUGGAAACUAUUAGACUAGAGUAUGGUAUGGGUAUAGGGAAUUCCCCUGU